AGGAAAGAAAGCCGGGUAGAGGGACCCUUUGAAUGGGAACCCAGCCUGUCCUCCCCAAGUCCGGCCACAGAUGUCGGCAGCUGGGGGGCUCCUUUGGCUGGUCUGGGGUGACCUCUCUCCGCUUCACCUGGAGCACUCUCAGGGGCUGUCGUGAUGAUUGCGUGGCGGGACUCUGUCCCGCUCCAAGGCACCCAUUCUCUGGGACGGGUGCCCCCCGGGGUUUUUGGACUCCUGGGGGUGACUUAGCAGCCGUCUGCUUGCAGUUGGACUUCCCAGGCCAACAGUGGUCUGGCUUCUGAGGGGUCAGGCCAGAAUGUGGGGUACGUGGGAGGCCAGCAGAGGGUUCCAUGAGAAGGGCAGGACAGGGCCACGGACAGUCAGCUUCCAUGUGACGCCCGGAGACAGAAAGUCUCUGGGUGGCUGGGUUUUUGUGGGGUGAGGAUGGACAUUCUGCCAUUGUGAUUACUACUACUACUACUACAUGGACGUCUGGGGCAAAGGGACCACGGUCACCGUCUCCUCAGCCUCCACCAAGGGCCCAUCGGUCUUCCCCCUGGCGCCCUCCUCCAAGAGCACCUCUGGGGGCACAGCAGCCCUGGGCUGCCUGGUCAAGGACUACUUCCCCGAACCGGUGACCGUGUCGUGGAACUCAGGCGCCCUGACCAGCGGCGUGCACACCUUCCCGGCUGUCCUACAAUCCUCAGGACUCUACUCCCUCAGCAGCGUGGUGACCGUGCCCUCCAGCAGCUUGGGCACCCAGACCUACAUCUGCAAUGUAGAUCACAAGCCCAGCAACACCAAGGUGGACAAGAAAGUUGAGCCCAAAUCUUGUGACACAACUCAUACAUGCCCACCAUGCGCAGCACCUGAACUCCUGGGGGGACCGUCAGUCUUCCUCUUCCCCCCAAAACCCAAGGACACCCUCAUGAUCUCCCGGACCCCUGAGGUCACGUGCGUGGUGGUGGAUGUGAGCCACGAAGACCCUGAGGUCAAGUUCAACUGGUACGUGGACGGCGUGGAGGUGCAUAAUGCCAAGACAAAGCCGCGGGAGGAGCAGUACAACAGCACGUACCGUGUGGUCAGCGUCCUCACUGUCCUGCACCAGGACUGGCUGAAUGGCAAGGAGUACAAGUGCAAGGUCUCCAACAAAGCCCUCCCAGCCCCCAUCGAGAAAACCAUCUCCAAAGCCAAAGGGCAGCCCCGAGAACCACAGGUGUACACCCUGCCCCCAUCCCGGGAUGAGCUGACCAAGAACCAGGUCAGCCUGACCUGCCUGGUCAAAGGCUUCUAUCCCAGCGACAUCGCCGUGGAGUGGGAGAGCAGCGGGCAGCCGGAGAACAACUACAAGACCACGCCUCCCGUGCUGGACUCCGACGGCUCCUUCUUCCUCUACAGCAAGCUCACCGUGGACAAGAGCAGGUGGCAGCAGGGGAACGUCUUCUCAUGCUCCGUGAUGCAUGAGGCUCUGCACAACCACUACACGCAGAAGAGCCUCUCCCUGUCUCCGGGUAAAUGAGUGCGACGGCCGGCAAGCCCCCGCUCCCCGGGCUCUCGGGGUCACGCGAGGAUGCUUGGCACGUACCCCGUGUACAUACUUCCCAGGCGCCCAACAUGGAAAUAAAGCACCCAGCGCUGCCCUGGGCCUCUGCGA